UCUAAGACAAGAUAAGUGUUUUUUUUUUUAAGCUGACUUGACUCUCUCCACUGUCCCUCCUGGGAUCUUAAUGUCUCUUAGGAAUUUUCUCUCUUGAGUUCAAGUCUCAUAUAUUUAUCUUCAAGUCCUACAAAUGUGCUUGAGAGAGCUGUUAGAGCCAGAAUAAUUCCCCUCUCCACUUAUUUCCAAAGGAACACAAAGAGAGAGAACCGGCAAACUGAGGAGUAAGAAAAAGAAGAGACCAUCUUCUACCAAGAUUAGGGCAGGAGAUAUCUACAAGAUCCUCACUUGAGUGGUUGAAACAACAGGAGAAGAUUUUUCAGAGGGACCUAAAGAGAUCUUACCUUAGCAGUUUAAGACAGAAGAUAAGGUGAAGGUGAAGUAGAAGGAGGAGGAGAAAGAGGAGAAAGAGAAAGAAGAGUAGGAGGAGGAAGAGGAGGAAGAGAAGAAGA
rnacentral:lncRNA from 1 species